AACUUUUAACAACGGAUCUCUUGGUUCUGGCAUCGAUGAAGAACGCAGCGAAAUGCGAUAAGUAAUGUGAAUUGCAGAAUUCAGUGAAUCAUCGAAUCUUUGAACGCACAUUGCGCCCCUUGGUAUUCCGAGGGGCAUGCCUGUUCGAGCGUCAU
rnacentral:rRNA from 1 species